rnacentral:lncRNA from 1 species
CUUAGGCUGGUAAAAAUAUUCAUCGUGAUCAACUUUGAACAAAAAUCUAAUAUCUAGAAGCAAUACUAAGAGAAGCAACGAAUGCAUUCAAGAAAGUUUGUGGUAACACUCACCAGGCAUAACGUCGUUCUAAGGAUCCAAAAUGCAGCACUUUUUCAACUGAACCUCCGUACACCAAACCGUGCGUUCCCAACCCUCCCAAACCAUUAGUUCCCAAGUGCCUACUGGUCCCCC